rnacentral:rRNA from 1 species
UACAGAGGGUGCGAGCGUUAAUCGGAAUUACUGGGCGUAAAGCGCGCGUAGGCGGCUUUGCAAGUCGGGUGUGAAAUCCCCAGGCUUAACCUGGGAACUGCAUUCGAGACUGCAUUGCUAGAGUAUGGGAGAGGGAAGUGGAAUUUCCGGUGUAGCGGUGAAAUGCGUAGAUAUCGGAAGGAACAUCAGUGGCGAAAGCGACUUCCUGGACCAAUACUGACGCUCAUGUGCGAAAGCUGGGGGAGCGAACAGG